rnacentral:rRNA from 1 species
UACGAAGGGGGCUAGCGUUGUUCGGAAUUACUGGGCGUAAAGGGCGCGUAGGCGGCCCUCCAAGUCAGGCGUGAAAGCCCUGGGCUCAACCCGGGAAUUGCGCUUGAUACUGAGGGGCUAGAGUGUGGGAGAGGUAAGUGGAAUUCCCAGUGUAGAGGUGAAAUUCGUAGAUAUUGGGAAGAACACCAGUGGCGAAGGCGGCUUACUGGACCACAACUGACGCUGAGGCGCGAAAGCGUGGGGAGCAAACAGG